rnacentral:rRNA from 1 species
UACGGAGGGUGCAAGCGUUAUCCGGAUUCACUGGGUUUAAAGGGUGCGUAGGUGGGUAUGUAAGUCAGAGGUGAAAUCCCCGAGCUUAACUUGGGAACUGCCUUUGAUACUAUAUAUCUUGAAUGCCGUAGAGGUAAGCGGAAUAUGUCAUGUAGCGGUGAAAUGCUUAGAUAUGACAUGGAACACCAAUUGCGAAGGCAGCUUACUAUGCGGUUAUUGACACUGAGGCACGAAAGCGUGGGUAGCAAACAGG